UACAGAGGUCUCAAGCGUUGUUCGGAUUCAUUGGGCGUAAAGGGUGUGUAGGCGGCGCCGUAAGUCGGGUGUGAAAUUUCGGAGCUUAACUCCGAAACUGCAUUCGAUACUGCGGUGCUUGAGGACUGGAGAGGAGACUGGAAUUCAUGGUGUAGCAGUGAAAUGCGUAGAGAUCAUGGGGAAGACCAGUGGCGAAGGCGGGUCUCUGGACAGUUCCUGACACUGAGACACGAAGGCCAGGGGAGCAAACGGG
rnacentral:rRNA from 1 species